rnacentral:lncRNA from 1 species
UUUUCAAGUAUGUCCUUUACUUUCCAAGCAUGGUUCGAGCAUAGAGGUAAAAAUCUCUCCUCUUUUAUCUCCUGUUAUGUUCAGUUCAUCGUCAUUUCUAUUUAUAUUUGAUUGAAUAGAUUCUGGUAUGACACACUACUGUGCUUACAAAAAAAAAUUGCAAUUUGAAAAGAGGCAUGGGAGUUAAUUGAUUGCAGCUUGUCUCUACCAUUUAGGUUAGCUUUAUAAUCAUGUCUUAGGCCUGAGAGUUGUUUUGAUAGGGCUUAAUUUUGUUGCCCUUAUUUGUUAUCUUUUGUGGGUUGCUAUAACUCUGGGGUUGUUAGUGAUUGAGUCACUUUGGCAUUGUAAUCAUGUGUUUGUAUGAUUUUAAGUGUUGUAUUGUAACUCUUUGGUAUACUUUGGCUCUCUCUUUCAUUAAUAAAUUAUUCAUUGGCUUUUAAAAAAGAAUUUGUUCUGUUAUGAGUUCAUUUAUUUGAUCUCCUUAGAAAAUAGAUGCAUUAUGUUAAAUACCAUUAUCUUGUGGAAUUAUGCCAUGGACUAAGUCAAUUUGUACAACUCAGUUCUCUUUUUUAAGUAUCCUAAUAUAUACUUAUGUUUUUCCAGGUAACCGAAUAAGAAGAGUCAAGCGAUGGUAGGCGUUUUUGAGUCUAGUGCACACUAAUUAAGGAUUAUGAAGCAACAUCACAUACUAGGGAUAUUUAGAUAUUUUUUGAACUUAUUUUGACGUGCUGAUAUGUUUAACCACUCUACUAAUAUUUAUGUUUUAAUUUUUGAAUGUUUGAACUACAUUAGUUUCUUUCGUUUGGAACUUCAAGUACUUGAAUUAAAUUUUGAUGUAGGGAUCUUGUCACUAUUGAAUGAAUUAUAUAAAUGAGAUUAAGUUAUUUAUAUUUA